UAGGGCACUAAUAGAAAUUGAUUUUGACUAAACAGGGAUUAAUUAUUCUUUUCAUUUGGGGUGGAGUGAAACCUUCAUCAUUUCAUCCAUGGGUUGACUGCUCCGAAGUGAAUCAACAAAGUUGCUGAAAACUGCCAGAAGAUCGGACUCCCCCGGAAGGGGA
ensembl:lncRNA